CCUACGGGAGGCUGCAGUGGGGAAUAUUGGACAAUGGGCGAAAGCCUGAUCCAGCCAUGCCGCGUGUGUGAAGAAGGCCUUCGGGUUGUAAAGCACUUUCAGUGGGGAAGAAAGCCUUGGGGCUAAUACCCUCGAGGAAGGACAUCACCCACAGAAGAAGCACCGGCUAACUCCGUGCCAGCAGCCGCGGUAAUACGGAGGGUGCGAGCGUUAAUCGGAAUUACUGGGCGUAAAGCGCGCGUAGGCGGUCUGAUAAGCCGGUUGUGAAAGCCCCGGGCUCAACCUGGGAACGGCAUCCGGAACUGUCAGGCUAGAGUGCAGGAGAGGAAGGUAGAAUUCCCGGUGUAGCGGUGAAAUGCGUAGAGCUCGGGAGGAAUACCAGUGGCGAAGGCGGCCUUCUGGACUGACACUGACGCUGAGGUGCGAAAGCGUGGGUAGCAAACAGGAUUAGAUACCCUAGUAGUC
rnacentral:rRNA from 1 species